rnacentral:rRNA from 1 species
AGGAUGAACGCUGGCGGCGUGCCUAAUACAUGCAAGUCGAGCGAACAGACAAGGAGCUUGCUCCUUUGACGUUAGCGGCGGACGGGUGAGUAACACGUGGGUAACCUACCUAUAAGACUGGGAUAACUUCGGGAAACCGGAGCUAAUACCGGAUAAUAUUUCGAACCGCAUGGUUCGAUAGUGAAAGAUGGUUUUGCUAUCACUUAUAGAUGGACCCGCGCCGUAUUAGCUAGUUGGUAAGGUAACGGCUUACCAAGGCGACGAUACGUAGCCGACCUGAGAGGGUGAUCGGCCACACUGGAACUGAGACACGGUCCAGACUCCUACGGGAGGCAGCAGUAGGGAAUCUUCCGCAAUGGGCGAAAGCCUGACGGAGCAACGCCGCGUGAGUGAUGAAGGUCUUCGGAUCGUAAAACUCUGUUAUUAGGGAAGAACAUACGUGUAAGUAACUAUGCACGUCUUGACGGUACUUAAUCAGAAAGCCACGGCUAACUACGUGCCAGCAGCCGCGGUAAUACGUAGGUGGCAAGCGUUAUCCGGAAUUAUUGGGCGUAAAGCGCGCGUAGGCGGUUUUUUAAGUCUGAUGUGAAAGCCCACGGCUCAACCGUGGAGGGUCAUUGGAAACUGGAAAACUUGAGUGCAGAAGAGGAAAGUGGAAUUCCAUGUGUAGCGGUGAAAUGCGCAGAGAUAUGGAGGAACACCAGUGGCGAAGGCGACUUUCUGGUCUGUAACUGACGCUGAUGUGCGAAAGCGUGGGGAUCAAACAGGAUUAGAUACCCUGGUAGUCCACGCCGUAAACGAUGAGUGCUAAGUGUUAGGGGGUUUCCGCCCCUUAGUGCUGCAGCUAACGCAUUAAGCACUCCGCCUGGGGAGUACGACCGCAAGGUUGAAACUCAAAGGAAUUGACGGGGACCCGCACAAGCGGUGGAGCAUGUGGUUUAAUUCGAAGCAACGCGAAGAACCUUACCAAAUCUUGACAUCCUUUGACAACUCUAGAGAUAGAGCCUUCCCCUUCGGGGGACAAAGUGACAGGUGGUGCAUGGUUGUCGUCAGCUCGUGUCGUGAGAUGUUGGGUUAAGUCCCGCAACGAGCGCAACCCUUAAGCUUAGUUGCCAUCAUUAAGUUGGGCACUCUAAGUUGACUGCCGGUGACAAACCGGAGGAAGGUGGGGAUGACGUCAAAUCAUCAUGCCCCUUAUGAUUUGGGCUACACACGUGCUACAAUGGACAAUACAAAGGGCAGCGAAACCGCGAGGUCAAGCAAAUCCCAUAAAGUUGUUCUCAGUUCGGAUUGUAGUCUGCAACUCGACUACAUGAAGCUGGAAUCGCUAGUAAUCGUAGAUCAGCAUGCUACGGUGAAUACGUUCCCGGGUCUUGUACACACCGCCCGUCACACCACGAGAGUUUGUAACACCCGAAGCCGGUGGAGUAACCAUUUGGAGCUAGCCGUCGAAGGUGGGACAAAUGAUUGGGGUGAAGCUA